rnacentral:lncRNA from 1 species
UUUUUUUUUGAUAACCCAGGUGUCCCAGCUUAGCCGGACUAAAUCCUGGACCUCUAGCCCCCGGCCCCUCAGUGACUAGUGGAGGUAAAUCGCAGGUUGUGCCCUUGUUGGUUCCCAGGUUCCCACAUGGCUUUUACUCCUUCCCCAAAGGGACCCUCCUCCAUGGUUAUUACAUCACCAAGCUGCUCCAACCCUUCCUCUGGUUAUUACAUCACUUGGCUGCUCCAACCAGGAAUCGAACUCCCCACACUUAGUUCCAG